AUUGAACGCUGGCGGCAGGCCUAACACAUGCAAGUCGAGCGGAUGACGGGAGCUUGCUCCUUGAUUCAGCGGCGGACGGGUGAGUAAUGCCUAGGAAUCUGCCUGGUAGUGGGGGACAACGUUUCGAAAGGAACGCUAAUACCGCAUACGUCCUACGGGAGAAAGCAGGGGACCUUCGGGCCUUGCGCUAUCAGAUGAGCCUAGGUCGGACUAGCUGGUUGGUGGGGUAAUGGCUCACCUAGGCGAAGAUCCGUAACUGGUCUGAGAGGAUGAUCAGUCACACUGGAACUGAGACACGGUCCAGACGCCUACGGGAGGCAGCAGUGGGGAAUAUUGGACAAUGGGCGAAAGCCUGAUCCAGCCAUGCCGCGUGUGUGAAGAAGGUCUUCGGAUUGUAAAGCACUUUAAGUUGGGAGGAAGGGCAGUAAGUUAAUACCUUGCUGUUUUGACGUUACCGACAGAAUAAGCACCGGCUAACUCUGUGCCAGCAGCCGCAGUAAGAC
rnacentral:rRNA from 1 species